AUGUAGUGCCUUAUUCCUGGUAAUGUUUGUCAGAGAACUAAAUCCUAAUACAGUCACUCGUGUAAUUCGUUUUUGUGUGAAUAUUAGGGAUCUUUGGCCGUCCUUCAUCAUGCAAUACUCUGUUGACACUUCUGAAUGACCUCAUCCGACUGGCUAUCAUUAAAACAAAAUGAUCCAAAUAGAAUUUUCCAGUCAUUUUUGUUUCUUGAAGUACUGCUGCAAGGCAUCCUAUGCUGAAAUUUCUUGGUACUGUGGGUGAGUUGAGUUGCAUACCUUCAUCUUGAAUGCUGAUUUUCCUACCUUGCAUUGCAGAAUAGCAAAAGGAAGAACCCAGUAUAGAACAGAAAGUAGGAAAAUGUGGUAAAAAUCCAGCCGUUGAGACCAGCUUCUUACCGUUGAUAGGCAUGAAGAUUAUUCUUCUCCUCGCCAUCGUACAUUCACCAUCUACUUGUAGUCGAUGAGAGUUUCUAUCUGAGAUCUUGUAUGAUGCUCAUUCUCACCCCCAGCCAUCCUAACAUGGGUGAUUAAAGCUCUAAUUUCUACUUUUUUCUUUUUUCUUUUAUUAUGAAGGGAGAGCUCAAGCCCUUGUUGUUUCUCCUUUUCGCUCUCAAAUCUACUCAUUUUAGUUUCCAAGUUCUGAUUGGUUUGAGGUAUGAUAAGCGCCUUCAGAUUGCUUUGUACUCUUUGCUUCAUUAGGUGUAGUUGAGUUCUUUGAGAAUCAUUUCUUACUUUGGACAGUCCUGGUAUACACCUUACAAUUCUAUGAAGGGUGUGGAGUGUGGAACUGUAGAGAAUCUGGGGCUGAAGAUCAAGCCGAGAGAGUGCGUAAAGCCUAUGUAAAACACACAACCAGUGGAGUAACUGCAAGAAGAACUUUACCAUGGGUUUGCAAUGGAGAUUCAAUAGUUGAGUUCUUGCACGCAGUUCAACAGCAGCUGGUUUCAGAGUUGCGCAAGAUACUGUUGACAGUUCUCUCUACGUGAAAGAGAAUCUGAUAAUUCCUCAUUGAAUAUUGAUACUUAAUUAUAAAUUACUGCUGUUCCUAUCUCGGAUUUAUGACCCUGCCAAAAGAUGGGAGCGGCGCACAAUCCACGGUGACUACUUGGAGAUCAGUCAGAUGAGAAACAUUCAGUUCUAUCCAGCUAUUCUGGGAGCAUAUGGAUAGCUGAAGCACUGUAACAACGUAGCUGCUCCGAAUGGUGGAUUUCAUUCCUCAUUCAGAUGUUGACUUCUGUUGGGAUUGCAAUAUGAGGAGCUGAGUUACUGUCUCUGUUUUAUUUUGGAUGCAGCAAAUUGUUCCGUCCUGACAAUUCUGAAAGUCAUAUCUCGCCAGUGUUGUUCUAAAUCUCUGUUCAACAUGGUUCACCCAGGUCGACGAACCUCUCAAAUUGUUAAAACAACGAUUAGGGUUGCUCUAAUUUUAAAAUUGGUUGGUCGGCGUUGCAACCAGAUAAGCGCUUCCCAACCAGUUAAGUCCUGUGCAAGUUACUCGAGAAUGCCCCAUGCAUUAGAAACCACCUUUGUUCCCUUAUACCCAAUUAAGCGACACACUGUACAUGGACAAUGUGAACCUACAGUAACGCAGAA